UCAGCCUACGGGGGGCAGCAGUGGGGAAUAUUGCACAAUGGGGGAAACCCUGAUGCAGCGACGCCGCGUGAAGGAUGAAGUAUUUCGGUAUGUAAACUUCUAUCAGCAGGGAAGAAAAUGACGGUACCUGACUAAGAAGCCCCGGCUAACUACGUGCCAGCAGCCGCGGUAAUACGUAGGGGGCAAGCGUUAUCCGGAUUUACUGGGUGUAAAGGGAGCGUAGACGGUAUGGCAGGGCUGAUGUGAAAACCCGGGGCUCAACCCCGGGACUGCAUUGGAAACCGUCCG
rnacentral:rRNA from 1 species